CGGGACACGUGGUAUCCUGUCUGAAUAUGGGGGGACCAUCCUCCAAGGCUAAAUACUCCUGACUGACCGAUAGUGAACCAGUACCGUGAGGGAAAGGCGAAAAGAACCCCGGCGAGGGGAGUGAAAAAGAACCUGAAACCGUGUACGUACAAGCAGUGGGAGCCUCUUUAUGGGGUGACUGCGUACCUUUUGUAUAAUGGGUCAGCGACUUAUAUUCUGUAGCAAGGUUAACCGAAUAGGGGAGCCGAAGGGAAACCGAGUCUUAACUGGGCGUUAAGUUGCAGGGUAUAGACCCGAAACCCGGUGAUCUAGCCAUGGGCAGGUUGAAGGUUGGGUAACACUAACUGGAGGACCGAACCGACUAAUGUUGAAAAAUUAGCGGAUGACUUGUGGCUGGGGGUGAAAGGCCAAUCAAACCGGGAGAUAGCUGGUUCUCCCCGAAAGCUAUUUAGGUAGCGCCUCGUGAAUUCAUCUCCGGGGGUAGAGCACUGUUUCGGCAAGGGGGUCAUCCCGACUUACCAACCCGAUGCAAACUGCGAAUACCGGAGAAUGUUAUCACGGGAGACACACGGCGGGUGCUAACGUCCGUCGUGAAGAGGGAAACAACCCAGACCGCCAGCUAAGGUCCCAAAGUCAUGGUUAAGUGGGAAACGAUGUGGGAAGGCCCAGACAGCCAGGAUGUUGGCUUAGAAGCAGCCAUCAUUUAAAGAAAGCGUAAUAGCUCACUGGUCGAGUCGGCCUGCGCGGAAGAUGUAACGGGGCUAAACCAUG
rnacentral:rRNA from 2 species